rnacentral:snRNA from 1 species
AGCUUUGUGUAGAGGCUGUAUCAUAGCCAAUGAGGUUCAACUGAGGCAUGACUAUUACUUAUUGAAAACUAAAACUAAUGG